rnacentral:rRNA from 1 species
GGACAAACGCUGGCGGCGUGCUUAACACAUGCAAGUCGAACGGAAAGGCCCUGCUUUUGUGGGGUGCUCGAGUGGCGAACGGGUGAGUAACACGUGAGUAACCUGCCCUUGACUUUGGGAUAACUUCAGGAAACUGGGGCUAAUACCGGAUAGGAGCUCCUGCUGCAUGGUGGGGGUUGGAAAGUUUCGGCGGUUGGGGAUGGACUCGCGGCUUAUCAGCUUGUUGGUGGGGUAGUGGCUUACCAAGGCUUUGACGGGUAGCCGGCCUGAGAGGGUGACCGGCCACAUUGGGACUGAGAUACGGCCCAGACUCCUACGGGAGGCAGCAGUGGGGAAUAUUGCACAAUGGGCGGAAGCCUGAUGCAGCAACGCCGCGUGCGGGAUGACGGCCUUCGGGUUGUAAACCGCUUUCGCCUGUGACGAAGCGUGAGUGACGGUAAUGGGUAAAGAAGCACCGGCUAACUACGUG